rnacentral:pre_miRNA from 1 species
UGGAUGAAGACAGAGGAGUGGAGUUCGACACUAGCAUGUAUCACUUUGGUGAACAUGUACCUCCAGCGAGGGAGAGCAAGAGCUUGACUGACUGCAGAAGUGGUGCAAGAAGCAGGACAAACUGCUCGCCAAGUGUUUCAAGACUAUCAAGCUUCUAACAGAUAAGCUGAGUUGUUCCUCCUCCACCACUGCUAUUCCA